rnacentral:rRNA from 1 species
UGGGAACGUGCCUUUUGGUUCGGAACAACCCAGGGAAACUUGGGCUAAUACCGGAUAAGCCCUUACGGGGAAAGAUUUAUCACCAAAAGAUCGGCCCGCGUCUGAUUAGCUAGUUGGUGGGGUAAUGGCCCACCAAGGCUACGAUCAGUAGCUGGUCUGAGAGGAUGAUCAGCCACAUUGGGACUGAGACACGGCCCAAACUCCUACGGGAGGCAG